AGGAGCAACAGCCCUAGUGGCGGGGCCAGCUCUGGAAACCUAGAAUCAGCCCCCGCAGGAACUCCGGAGCUCUCCGUCUGCAGGGCCUGGAGGCUCCGGGGCGGGGCC
rnacentral:pre_miRNA from 1 species